GAUGAACGCUGGCGGCGUGCCUAACACAUGCAAGUCGAGCGAUUCUCUUCGGAGAAGAGCGGCGGACGGGUGAGUAACGCGUGGGUAACCUGCCCUGUACACACGGAUAACAUACCGAAAGGUAUGCUAAUACGAGAUAAUAUGCUUUUAUCGCAUGGUAGAAGUAUCAAAGUUUUGCGGUACAGGAUGGACCCGCGUCUGAUUAGCUAGUUGGUAAGGUAACGGCUUACCAAGGCGACGAUCAGUAGCCGACCUGAGAGGGUGAUCGGCCACAUUGGAACUGAGACACGGUCCAAACUCCUACGGGAGGCAGCAGUGGGGAAUAUUGCACAAUGGGCGAAAGCCUGAUGCAGCAACGCCGCGUGAGCGAUGAAGGCCUUCGGGUCGUAAAGCUCUGUCCUCAAGGAAGAUAAUGACGGUACUUGAGGAGGAAGCCCCGGCUAACUACGUGCCAGCAGCCGCGGUAACAUACUCGUA
rnacentral:rRNA from 1 species